rnacentral:rRNA from 1 species
UUUCGAGGACGCUAAUACCGCAUACGUCCUACGGGAGAAAGCAGGGGACCUUCGGGCCUUGCGCUAUCAGAUGAGCCUAGGUCGGAUUAGCUAGUUGGUGAGGUAAUGGCUCACCAAGGCGACGAUCCGUAACUGGUCUGAGAGGAUGAUCAGUCACACUGGAACUGAGACACGGUCCAGACUCCUACGGGAGGCAGCAGUGGGGAAUAUUGGACAAUGGGCGAAAGCCUGAUCCAGCCAUGCCGCGUGUGUGAAGAAGGUCUUCGGAUUGUAAAGCACUUUAAGUUGGGAGGAAGGGCAGUAAGUUAAUACCUUGCUGUUUUGACGUUACCGACAGAAUAAGCACCGGCUAACUCUGUGCCAGCAGCCGCGGUAAUACAGAGGGUGCAAGCGUUAAUCGGAAUUACUGGGCGUAAAGCGCGCGUAGGUGGUUCGUUAAGUUGGAUGUGAAAGCCCCGGGCUCAACCUGGGAACUGCAUCCAAAACUGGCGAGCUAGAGUACGGUAGAGGGUGGUGGAAUUUCCUGUGUAGCGGUGAAAUGCGUAGAUAUAGGAAGAAACACCAGUG